rnacentral:lncRNA from 1 species
CCAGGAUGUUAGGAAUUAACCAAUAUUCUUUAGUCCUUGAAAGAUCUUAACCUUGAAAACACUCAGAGACAACAUACAAAUAAAACCCACACCAGCUUUUCUGUGUGCUUUAUCUGACUGUAGUAGGCUGAAUAAAGGCCUCCAAAGAUGUCCCCAUUCUAAGCCCUGGAACCUGUGAAUGUUACUUUACAUAGCAAAAGGGACUAUGCAGAUGUGACUAAGAAUCUUGAGACAGGGAGAUUUUCCUGGGGAUUAUCCAGGUGGGCCCUAAAUGCAAUUUCAAGUCUCUUUAUAAGAGGGAUUGAGAAGGAAACUUCAUCAAAGAACAGGAAAAAAUCAGUGUGACCAUAGAAGCAGAGAUUGAAGCGAUGUGGUCACAAGGCAAGGAAUGCUGGCAGCCACCAGACACCGGAAGUCAGGAACAGAUUCUCCCCCGGAACCUCCAGAGGGGAGACAGCCCUGCUGUCACCUUGAUUUUAAGCCAGUGAUGUUGAUUUCAGACUCUGGCCUCUGGAACUUCCUUUCAGAAAUUCUCUAGAGCCUGAAAAAGUCACCCUGCCGAGGAUCAACUUCUUCACCCCAGAACAAGGCAGAGCAGAAGGAUGGAUCUGAGUGCAAACAGGUCCAGGACCAGCACACCAUAUGCCGACCUUGAGAAGGAAAUUCACUGAGCCAUUCCUUACGAGUGUUCCCAGGAGAAACAGGAAAGUGAGAAGUCAAGUCGGUCCAAGAAGAAUAAAGAGGCCAAGCCCAGUUGCAUAUCAGCAAUCUCACAGAGAGAGCUGCCUCAGUCCCUCGAGGGUAAGUAGAUGACCUCAGAGUUGUCCCAUCAGUUGCUGCUUCAGAGCCACACUUUCAGCUCAUCCUUGCACUUCAUGCAAUCUGUGAGCCCCACAGGCAGAGCAGGUCCUGGCUGCCUGAGGUUAUUCCCUAUGAAAGAAGCAGAUCUAGGUUCCCACAGCAGUCUCGGCUGUAACUAAACAGAAGGCUUCAUUCAUGAUUGGAUUAAGGAUGGGGGAAGGGCAGGUGGCUAUGAAGGUUA